GAAUGCUGACAUAAGUAACGAUAAAGCGGGUGAAAAGCCCGCUCGCCGGAAGACCAAGGGUUCCUGUCCAACGUUAAUCGGGGCAGGGUGAGUCGACCCCUAAGGCGAGGCCGAAAGGCGUAGUCGAUGGGAAACGGGUUAAUAUUCCCGUACUUGGUGUUACUGCGAAGGGGGGACGGAGAAGGCUAUGUUGGCCGGGCGACGGUUGUCCCGGUUUAAGCGUGUAGGUGUGUGUUCCAGGUAAAUCCGGUUCACUUUAACACUGAGGCGUGAUGACGAGGCACUACGGUGCUGAAGCAACAAAUGCCCUGCUUCCAGGAAAAGCCUCUAAGCAUCAGGUAACAUCAAAUCGUACCCCAAACCGACACAGGUGGUCAGGUAGAGAAUACCAAGGCGCUUGAGAGAACUCGGGUGAAGGAACUAGGCAAAAUGGUGCCGUAACUUCGGGAGAAGGCACGCUGACAUGUAGGUGAAGUGAUUUACUCAUGGAGCUGAAGUCAGUCGAAGAUACCAGCU
rnacentral:rRNA from 1 species